UUUUAGCCCCGAUUGAAGUGGAAAUCCUUUUGUGCCGGGGUUCGGUACAAAAGAUUGAAACGGAAAGCGGGAACCCAU
rnacentral:sRNA from 1 species